GUCUCUGGUUAUACUACCCUGAACAUGCCCAAUCUCAUCUGAUCUUGGAAGCUAAACAGGGUUGGGCCUGGUUAGCACUUGGAUAAAGAGAACUUUUUGAGCAAAAACU
rnacentral:rRNA from 1 species